UACGAAGGGGGCUAGCGUUGCUCGGAAUCACUGGGCGUAAAGGGUGCGUAGGCGGGUCUUUAACGUCAGGGGUGAAAUCCUGGACUCAACUCCAGAACUGCCUUUGAUACUGAGGAUCUUGAGUUCGGGAGAGGUGAGUGGAACUGCGAGUGUAGAGGUGAAAUUCGUAGAUAUUCGCAAGAACACCAGUGGCGAAGGCGGCUCACUGGCCCGAGUACUGACGCUGAGGCACGAAAGCGUGGGGAGCAAACAGG
rnacentral:rRNA from 1 species